UCUAUAGGAAUACUAGGAUUUAUAGUAUGAUCUCAUCAUAUGUAUACUGUAGGG
rnacentral:tRNA from 1 species